rnacentral:rRNA from 1 species
UGGGGAAUUUUGGACAAUGGGCGAAAGCCUGAUCCAGCAAUGCCGCGUGUGUGAAGAAGGCCUUCGGGUUGUAAAGCACUUUUGUCCGGAAAGAAAUCCUUGGCUCUAAUACAGUCGGGGGAUGACGGUACCGGAAGAAUAAGCACCGGCUAACUACGUGCCAGCAGCCGCGGUAAUACGUAGGGUGCAAGCGUUAAUCGGAAUUACUGGGCGUAAAGCGUGCGCAGGCGGUUUGCUAAGACCGAUGUGAAAUCCCCGGGCUCAACCUGGGAACUGCAUUGGUGACUGGCAGGCUAGAGUAUGGCAGAGGGGGGUAGAAUUCCGCGUGUAGCAGUGAAAUGCGUAGAGAUGUGGAGGAAUACCGAUGGCGAAGGCAGCCCCCUGGGCCAAUACUGACGCUCAUGCACGAAAGCGUGGGGAGCAAAACAGGAUUAGAUACCCUGGUAGUCCGCGCCCUAAAACGAUGUCAACUAGUUGUUGGGGAUUCAUUUCCUUAGUAACGUAGCUAACGCGUGAAGUUGACCGCCUGGGGAGUACGGUCGCAAGAUUAAAACUUAAAUGAAUUGACGGGGUCAUAGCUGUUUCCU